rnacentral:rRNA from 1 species
CCCAGACUCCUACGGGAGGCAGCAGUGAGGAAUAUUGGUCAAUGGGCGGAAGCCUGAACCAGCCAAGUCGCGUGAGGGAAUAAGGCCCUACGGGUCGUAAACCUCUUUUGCCGGGGAGCAAGGGCGGGGACGUGUCCCGGCCCGGAGAGUACCCGGAGAAAAAGCAUCGGCUAACUCCAUGCCAGCAGCCGCGGUAAUACGGAGGAUGCGAGCGUUAUCCGGAUUUAUUGGGUUUAAAGGGUGCGUAGGCGGGCUUUUAAGUCAGCGGUAAAAAUGCGGGGCUCAACCCCGUCCGGCCGUUGAAACUGGGGGCCUUGAGUGGGCGAGAAGAAGGCGGAAUGUGUAGUGUAGCGGUGAAAUGCAUAGAUAUUACACAGAACACCGAUUGCGAAGGCAGCUUGCUAGGCCGGAUCUGACACUGAUGCACGAAAGCGUGGGGAUCGAACAGGAUUAGAUACCCUCGUA